rnacentral:rRNA from 1 species
AUUGAACGCUGGCGGCAUGCUUUACACAUGCAAGUCGAACAGUAACAGGCCGCAAGGUGCUGACGAGUGGCGAACGGGUGAGUAAUGCAUCGGAACGUGCCCAGUCGUGGGGGAUAACGCAGCGAAAGCUGCGCUAAUACCGCAUACGAUCUAUGGAUGAAAGCGGGGGACCGAAAGGCCUCGCCGGAGUGGAGCGGCCGAUGUCGGAGUAGGUAGUUGGUGGGGUAAAGGCUCACCAAGCCAACGAUCUGUAGCUGGUCUGAGAGGACGACCAGCCACACUGGGACUGAGACACGGCCCAGACUCCUACGGGAUGCAGCAGUGGGGAAUUUUGGACAAUGGGCGCAAGCCUGAUCCAGCAAUGCCGCGUGCAGGAAGAAGGCCUUCGGGUUGUAAACUGCUUUUGUACGGAACGAAACGGUCCUGGUUAAUACCUGGGGCUAAUGACGGUACCGUAAGAAUAAGCACCGGCUAACUACGUGCCAGCCGCCGCCGUAAAAC